UUCCCCGCGUUGAUCAUCUGAAGACCCCGGUAACGAUGGCCCACGCUGAUCCUGAUCCUGACUCUGGCCUUGUUCAACAUGUAAGCUUCCGAGAUCCUUCCCAUCGUGGACUUUUCGCUAACCCCAAUCCCAAUCCAUUGAUUUAUGUUCACAAUUUGACUUUGAGGGCUUCAAAGAUGAAGACUUAAUCCAAGUAACAAGCGGAUUCCACUGUCGCUUCUUUCAUUUGGAACUCCUGUAGCUCCUCGGUGGUCGAAGAUGGAGUCCGAUAAGAUUAAAGGGGUCGUCAUAAUCACUCUUCCGCCACCGGACAAUCCGUCGUUGGGUAAAUCCAUCACUGCUUUUACACUCACCGACGACUUCUCGGAACCUCCCCGCGAAUCCGUUGUAGUUGGUCAAGAAGAACAGGAACCCAACCGCAACCAUUUGACUCUCCCACUGGAUCUUCCGAUUCAGACCCCUUCUAAUCAGCGAAGUAUUCCUUUGUCGAGGGAGCUUUUUGCUGGUACUCCUAGAAAGCUCGUCGUCUUAUUAAGCAUUGCCCUCGUUGCUAUUUAUCUUUAUUCUUCCAGUUUUCCUGAGACCCUUCAGGAACUUCGUAGUUCCGAGAAGAAUGAUGAUGAUCGCCGUACUUCCUUGUUGUUUCCCCUUUAUUUCCAAUCGGAGUUGGGUGACAGCAGUGAUUUCCAGCUUAAGUUGGGCAGGACUAAGGGCCUAAAUAAGGAUGAUCUGAGUGCAGCUUUCAAUGAUGUACUUGGAGUUCCGAAGCCUACCAAAUUGAUUUCUUCCACUUUAAAAUCUGAUUCUUCAGCCGUUUUUCCUGUGCGUGGAGAUAUUUAUCCAGAUGGAUUGUAUUAUACUUACAUAAUGGUUGGAGAGCCACCAAGACCUUACUUCCUCGACAUUGAUACUGGGAGCGACUUGACAUGGGUUCAGUGUGACGCUCCUUGCACCAGUUGUGGCAAGGGAAGAAGUCCGUUAUACAAGCCAAAAAGAGAGAACGUUGUAUCUUUCAAGGACUCUUUGUGCAUGGAAGUUCAAAGAAAUUAUAAUGGCGAUCAGUGUGCAACCUGCCAUCAGUGUGACUACGAGAUUCAAUAUGCUGACCAGAGCUCCUCUCUAGGGGUUCUUGUUAAAGAUGAGUUUACCUUAAAGUUCUCCAAUGGAUCAUUGACCAAGUUGAAUGCCAUUUUCGGGUGUGCAUAUGAUCAGCAAGGCGUGCUAUUGAACACGUUGUCCAAGACUGAUGGCAUUCUAGGACUAAGCAGGGCUAAAGUUAGUUUACCUUCCCAGUUGGCGAGUCAAGGGAUCAUAAACAAUGUGGUAGGUCACUGUCUUACCGGUGAUCCAGCAAGUGGUGGAUAUAUGUUUCUAGGUGAUGAUUUUGUGCCACAGUGGGGGAUGGCAUGGGUUGCCAUGCUUGACAGCCCUUCCAUAGAUUUUUAUCAAACAAAGGUUGUGAGGAUAGAUUAUGGAAGCAGCCCACUGAGUUUUGAUACUUGGGGUAGCAACCGUGGACGAGUAGUUUUCGAUAGUGGCAGCUCGUACACCUACUUCACAAAAGAAGCAUAUUCUCAAUUGGUUGCAUCUCUUGAAGAACUCUCAGCGUUUGGACUUAUUGUUCAAGAUUCAUCAGAUAUCAUUUGUUGGAGAACUGAAUCUUCUAUCAGAUCUGUUAAAGAUGUCAAGCAGUUCUUCAAGCCUUUAACGCUUCAGUUCGAGAGCAGAUUUUGGAUUGUGUCCACAAAACUUGAGAUUCCUCCAGAGAAUUAUUUAGUCAUCAAUAAAGAAGGAAAUGUAUGCUUGGGAAUUCUUGAUGGAAGCCAGGUACAUGAUGGGUCCACAACCAUUCUUGGAGACAACGCAUUGCGUGGGAAGUUGGUCGUUUACGACAACGUGAAUAACAGGAUUGGAUGGACUUCAUCCGACUGUCACAAUCCGAGAAGAAUGAAACGCCUCCCACUCUUUUGAUACACUGUCAGUCUACAGAUAAACUACGUAGUCGUUGUUACAUGGCAUGCCUAGAUUCCUCUGUCUAUGAAUACGAAUUGCUCAUUUGUGAAUAAAAUACUUGGUCAUAGUUGGAUUGGCAUUUCCAGGCAUUGAUGAUGAAGGGUCCUUGGAUAUCAUUGUUUUCAGUGAAGUGAACCAUCAAAGUUGACUCCAUAUGAUUAUAAAUGGUCACUUGCCAUCGAGAAAAUGGAAGCUGUACCUUGGAUUCUGCAGGUUCUGCAAAACAUGGCUUCAUGAGCAUGUUUGAUCCCAAACCCAACAAUAAAAUGAAACAUAAUGUGUUUACAGACUCCAUUUUCUAUGGAGUUUGGUCACUUUUUUUUCCCUUUUUGACAAAACCCUUCUUUGUUUUGUUUUAUAUAUACCCAAAUUGAGUUGCUAUAAUGGCAUGUUUCACCUUAAUUUUC